AGACAGAUGAGGAACGUCUUGUCUCUGAGAUGGUUAAUAGUUCAGACAGAUGAGGAAUGUCUUGUCUCUGAGAGGGUUAAUAGUUCAGACAGAUGAGGAACGUCUUGUCUCUGAGAUGGGUUAAUAGUUCAGAUGAGGAACGUCUUGUCUCUGAGAUGGUUAAUAGUUCAGAUGAGGAGCGUCUUGUCUCUGAGAUGGUUAAUAGUUCAGACAGAUGAGGAGCGUCUUGUCUCUGAGAGGGUUAAUAGUUCAGACAGAUGAGGAACGUCUUGUGUCUGAGAGGGUUAAUAGUUCAGACAGAUGAGGAACGUCUUGUCUCUGAGAUGGUUAAUAGUUCAGACAGAUGAGGAACGUCUUGUCUCUGAGAGGGUUAAUAGUUCAGACA